rnacentral:lncRNA from 1 species
GCUUCCAGGUGAUGGGGGAGCAGGAGGCAGGUCUCCCUGGUUUAUCUGGGUUGCUCCACAGGACACUGUUUCAUCAUUUUGGUGGCCAAAGAAUAUUCCCUAGUGUAUGCAUAUGAGAAUUUCUUGAUCCCUUUAUCUGUGGAUGGACAGCUUUUAGGAGAUGAAGAUGUUUUCAGUCUGCAUGCCUGAGAUCGUGUGGAAUGGGACUUUCUCUACCAGGCUCAUUCGUUGGACCCAAUGUUCUCCAGGUUUCUUCAUGUGGCUGCAGAUGGCAGGAUUUUCCAGAGCUUUAUGGCUGGAACAUACUCUGUGGUGUAUCUGUACAGCAGUUUCUUCAUCUCUGCAGCUGUGUGUGGACAGGUCAUAUACUGUGAUGUCCUUCAGGUUCAACAGUGUGGCUCCAAAUGAUGAAAUUUCAUUCUGGUUUUCUAGCUGA